CACGUAGGGCGCAAGCGUUGUCCGGAAUUAUUGGGCGUAAAGAGCUCGUAGGCGGUCUGUUGCGUCCGCUGUGAAAACCCGGGGCUUAACCCUGGGCUGGCAGUGGAUACGGACAGACUAGAGGUAGGUAGGGGAGAAUGGAAUUCCCGGUGUAGCGGUGAAAUGCGCAGAUAUCGGGAGGAACACCCGUAGCGAAGGCGGCACUCUGGGCCGAUACUGACGCUGACGGAGCGAAAGCGUGGGAGCGAACGAGG
rnacentral:rRNA from 1 species